UACAGAGGUCCCGAGCGUUGUUCGGAUUCACUGGGCGUAAAGGGUGCGUAGGUGGUGAGGUAAGUCGGAUGUGAAAUCUCCGGGCUUAACCCGGAAAUGGCAUUGGAAACUACCUUGCUAGAGGAUUUGAGGGGGGAUUGGAAUACUUGGUGUAGCAGUGAAAUGCGUAGAUAUCAAGUGGAACACCAGUGGCGAAGGCGAAUCCCUGGAAAAUACCUGACACUGAGGCACGAAAGCUAGGGGAGCAAACAGG
rnacentral:rRNA from 1 species